UACGUAGGGGGCAAGCGUUAUCCGGAUUUACUGGGUGUAAAGGGAGCGUAGACGGUGAUGCAAGUCAGAAGUGAAAGCCCGGGGCUCAACUCCGGGACUGCUUUUGAAACUGCCAGGCUAGAGUGUCGGAGAGGCAAGUGGAAUUCCUGGUGUAGCGGUGAAAUGCGUAGAUAUCAGGAGGAACACCAGUGGCGAAGGCGGCUUGCUGGACGAUGACUGACGUUGAGGCUCGAAAGCGUGGGGAGCAAACAGG
rnacentral:rRNA from 1 species